rnacentral:rRNA from 1 species
AUGAACGCUGGCGGCGUGCCUAAUCCAUGCCAGUCGCGCGAACAGAUAAGGAGCUUGCUCCUUUGACGUUAGCGGCGGACGGGUGAGUAACACGUGGGUAACCUACCUAUAAGACUGGAAUAACUCCGGGAAACCGGGGCUAAUGCCGGAUAACAUUUAGAACCGCAUGGUUCUAAAGUGAAAGAUGGUUUUGCUAUCACUUAUAGAUGGACCCGCGCCGUAUUAGCUAGUUGGUAAGGUAACGGCUUACCAAGGCAACGAUACGUAGCCGACCUGAGAGGGUGAUCGGCCACACUGGAACUGAGACACGGUCCAGACUCCUACGGGAGGCAGCAGUAGGGAAUCUUCCGCAAUGGGCGAAAGCCUGACGGAGCAACGCCGCGUGAGUGAUGAAGGUCUUCGGAUUGUAAAACUCUGUUAUUAGGGAAGAACAAAUGUGUAAGUAACUGUGCACGUCUUGACGGUACCUAAUCAGAAAGCCACGGCUAACUACGUG